rnacentral:rRNA from 1 species
UACGUAGGGGGCAAGCGUUGUCCGGAAUCAUUGGGCGUAAAGAGCGUGUAGGCGGCCAGAUAAGUCCGCUGUGAAAUCUCGAGGCUCAACUUCGAGCUGUCGGUGGAAACCAUCUGGCUAGAGUCCGGAAGAGGAGAAUGGAAUUCCCGGUGUAGCGGUGAAAUGCGCAGAUAUCGGGAAGAACACCCGUGGCGAAGGCGGUUCUCUGGGACGGUACUGACGCUGAGACGCGAAAGCGUGGGGAGCGAACAGG